AUGGCUUUAGAUCAGCUCAAGCAGCUUGUACCAUGCCUUCUCCUCCUGUCGAUUAUGUCGUCCUUGUCCCAAGCGAAGGCACAACAGUGCAACCGCCCCGGUUCAGAUGAGAACCGAAAGGGCAACUACUCCAUGGACGACACCAACUUCCGAUUCCAUACGAUCGGCAAAGAUUCCGGGUUCCUACGGACGAUGGUUGGCCUGGACUUGCUCCGCAACCUGUCCGACGCCGACGUGAACAACACCGGUGUGUUUUCCAUCUUCGACCUCUGGAUAACUCUCUGGCAAGUUGGCCAGGAGCAGCUGAGCAUCGACGAGGCGUCGUUCAGCAUCACCAUGGUCUAUCAGCCGCUGAUGGACCAGAGCCGUAGUGGCCUCACCUUCCUGAUCCUCUCUUACAGAUUGCUAACAAGUCUCGAAGCGUAUGUGGGGGCAAAUAGCUCCUUAGCGAAGCAACUGGUGGCCAUAGAUAUCUCCAACCCCACAACCCGAAGCGCCUCCGUCUCCGGCAGCUCCUUCUCUGUCCGGAUCGGUGCACUGGCUAACCUCACCACCUCGGGCACGAGGUACAACAAUAGCACCAUGGCUGUCGUCAUCAACAUUGAUCCGGUGGCAGCUGCCAUCUCUAACUAUUCAGUGUGGAUCGACUACGACCGUGUGGGGCAUAGCCUGUCGGUCUACGUGGACGUUGAAGGUAGGCUCAAGCCUGGUAACGCCAUAGCCGAGGUGAACCUUAGGAUCAGCAGCAUCGAUUUCCCAUACGUCCGUUUUGGCCUCCUCUCCACGACCGCGCAGCUGCUUCGUGCCGGAGCCAUAAAAUGCAGUGCAAUAGUCGAGGGCUUACCUCGCUCCUACGAGGAGGACAAAGCAGGUGGAUUACUGUCGAGGAAGGAAACCAUCAUAACCUCCAUCCUCGGGUCCAUAGCCGGCACCGCCGGUAUGGUUGCCGCCGUGGCGUGCUACUUCGGCUCUAGGUACCGGCGGUGGCACAAGGAGCUAGACAAGCUCGCCAGGUCUAUGGAGCGCCUCCCAGCGGUCCCAAAGAAGGUCGACUUCGCUGACAUCUACAAGGCCACCCGCAACUUCCACGAGGACAUGAAGCUUGGUGGAGGUGGGUUCGGUACAGUGUAUAGGUGCACGCUCCCUGCUGCCGCUUCUAAGACGGGGCAACCAAUGGAUGUGGCCAUCAAGAGGUUCACCCGUGACGUGCAGGACCGCCGCUACGACGACUUCCUCGCCGAGGUUAGCAUCAUCAGCCGGUUGCGCCACAAGAACAUCGUCCCCCUCAUCGGCUGGUCUUAUAACAAAGGAGUGCCGCUGCUUGUGUUCGAGUUCAUGAUCAAUGGCAGUUUAGACCAACAUCUCUUCCAUGGAGGCGGUAGUGACACAAGACAGCACCACACCAACAAUGCCAUCAGGCAAUGGGCAAAACGUUACGAGAUUCUCAAGGGCAUAGUCACCGCCUUGCACUAUGUCCACCACGAGUACGAGCCUCUGGUGCUGCACCGUGACAUCAAGGCAAGCAACAUAAUGUUGGACUCGAGCUUCCGCGCUCGCCUCGGCGACUUUGGCUUGGCUUCGACCGUCGCCGUUGAUAGGAACUCCGUCACUGGCAUGGGUGGCACCUGGGGCUACAUCGCACCAGAGUAUCCAGUUUGCCGCAAGGCAACACGACAAACGGACAUCUAUGCACUCGGUGUGCUCAUCCUCGAGGUUGUCACAGGACAACGGGCGCUCGUUGAUCAUCAGGUGGUGGAUGACGAUGACAUCCACAUCACGGAUAGGGUGUGGCGUCUGCAUCGUGAGGGGAGGUUACUGGAGUGCAUGGAUGCCAUGUUGAUCAACGAUUCUUCCCUUGAUGAUGAGGAGCAGCUAGACACUAUCGGCGAUGUGGAAUGCGUGCUGCUCUUGGGCCUAGCGUGUAGCAACCCGAAUCCAUCAGACCGGCCCACCAUGCCUGAAGUGGUGCGUGUCAUCGCCAAGUCAACUCCGCCGCCACAUGUUCCUCCUCAGAAGCCAAUAUUUGUGUGGCCACCGCAGGAAGAGGGGCGUUCAGGGGCCUCCGAUGAUGAUAGCACGGGUACAUCGAUGAUGAAUAAUCUUGACAAGAGUAUGGUAAGCACCACCAGAGGACAUGCCUCAUUUCAACUCCAAGACUCUGUGUACGUCACGGCAAGCAAUUCCUCUGGUCCAUGA
rnacentral:rRNA from 1 species